GCUGAGUAGUAGUACAUUGUGUAUAUGUACCAUGUCUUCUUAAUCCAUUCAUCUGCCGAUGGACAUUUCCAUGUCUUGGCUAUUGUGAAGAGUGCUGUGAUGGACAUAAGGGUGCAUUAUCUUUUCGAAUGAGUGUUUUGUCUGGAUAUAGGCCCAGGAGUGGGAUUGCUGGAUUAUAUGGUAGCUCUAUACUUAGUUUACUGAGGAACCUACAUACUGUUUCCCAUGGAGGUUAUAUCAAUUUACAUUCCCACCAAGAGUGAAGGAGGGUUCCAUUUCCUCCACACCCUUUCCAGCAUUUGUUACUUGCUGUCUUGUUAAUGACAGCCAUCCUGAGUAGUGUGAGGUGGUGCCUAAAUGUAGUUUUGAUUUGAAUUUCUCUAAUAUCAGUGAUAUUGAGUUUUUUUUUUUUUUUAGUUGUGCCUACUGGCUAAGCAUAUGUCUUCUUUGGAGAAAUAUUUACUUAGGUCUGCUGCCCAUUUUUCAAUUGAGUUGUUUGUUUUUUUGUUGUUGUUGAGUUGUAUGAGCUAUUUGUCUAUUUUGGAGAUUAGGCCCUUGUCUGUUGCAUCAUUUGCAAAGAUUUUCUCCCAUUCUGUGGGCUGUCUUUUCCAACUUUUAGAUGCAAUAGGUAAAAAGUAUAUUUGUGUGUGUUAAAGAAAAAUUGCACCAGACAGAAUUAAACAGAUAAGGAGGUCUUUAUUCCAGACUCUUGUAACAGAAGUCAAGACUGUUGCAACAUGGGAAACAGACUGAACUCAACUCUGCUGAAACAGAAGGUGAGACAGAUUAGGGUGAUGGUGGGUUAGUGCGCUUAGGUAUUCUUAUCAAAGUUAGGCUCCUACCCCCUCACAGAGACUGAGAGAUUGAGGUCCUGUCAUUCCUGAAAAUUAUAUUUGAAAGAGAUGUCUCCCUCUCCUUGAGGAAGACAGUCCUGGGUUGUAAAACUGGCAAGAGGAAAAGAUAUUUACAUCUCAAAGGGGCUGAGAAAGAAUUUACAGGAGCAAAUUUUCUAAAAUAUAUUCUUUAAGAAAAGGGAGGUCAAGGACUUAUAGUCACCAAGAAAACUGUUUAAAGUUUAGUCAAGCUGAGGGCAUCCUUUUUGGUCAUGUUUUCACUGAUUACUGGUAAAAAUCAUUACUUUUUGUUUAUUGGUCAUUUUAUGUUUCCUCUUUUGUGAAUUGCCUUCCCCCCCCCUUUUCCUAUUUUAUUACUAGGCUGAUUUUAAGUAUCACAUUAUAUAUCUAAUUAAUAAUAUUUUGUUAAGGAGUUCCCAUUGUAGCUCAGUGGGUUGAGGGCCUGACAUUGUCUCUGUGAGGAUGCAAGUUCAAUCUCUGGCCUGGCUCAGUGGGUUAAGGACCAGGUGUUGUGGCAAGCUGCAUCAUGGGUCAUGGAUGCAGCUUGAAGCUGGUGUUGCUGUGGCUGUGGCAUAGGCUGCAGCUGCAGCUCUGAUUUGACCUCUAGCCCAGGAGGUGGGCUAGAGGUGCACCAUAGGCUUGAGGUGCAACCAUAAAACAGAAGUAUCAGUAUUUAUGACAAGUAAUAUUUUGUUAGUAGGAAAUCACCUUACCAUUUCUAGUGGUUAUGUCCUUAAAUACCUGUAUGUUACCUUCAUACACUGAAUGUACUAAGUCUAGAAGAAAGAUAGCUAUAUAAACAAAUACAUUAAAAUAAAUGUCUAAAAUUUAAAAAUGGAUUAAUAUGAAGUAUAGAGGGAGCAUAAAGGGAGAAUGAUAAAUUCUAUGGAUUUUAGCCAAGGAUACCAUCCUGAAAGUUAUAUCUAACCUGAAUUUCCACAGAGAUCAAAGAUAGUCAGAUGGGUAGCAGGAUGAAAUUCAUUUCAGAUACAAUAUUUACAAAAGCAAAAACUUUUCAAAUAUUAUAAUGUGUUUGAGCUUCCUGAAACACCUCUUUUUUUGAAGAGGGAAGGAGGAAAGAAAUUAGCAUGGCAAUGGAGAAAUACAUACAUGUAACGAAACAUAUAAAAAUUCAUUAUAACAUUGAAGCCCAUAUAGUUACCCUCAUUAGCAGUUUGGACACUGUUGUAUAGGAAAUACUAAUUUACUCAGCUGCAGAAGACUCUAAAGGCAAAUACAUAGAUUCAAGGCCCAACGCACAAGUCAUCUAACAAGCUCCAGUGAUGUUCAGGCAACAGUGAGAUUUAUAGUGUGCAAUCAACAAGUCCAAAAGAAAAUGUGUCAUAUUGUCUCCGCAAGCUGCAUUUUAGUUUUUCCUUUUUGGGUUGAUAUACAACCAUUUAUUAUCCUCCGAAGCCAGAAACCAUGGAGUUACCCUGGGACCCUCACUUCCUCUACUCCUCACUUUUAGCAAGGUCCAUUUUCUUUACCUGCUAACCUUCUCUGAGAUACAUUCUCUCUUUCCCAUUCCCAUUGCUCCUUUUUUUUUUUUUUUUUUUUUUCUUCUUAAGGCUGCAGCUAGGGCAAAUGAAGUUCUCCGGCUAGGGGUCAAAUCAGAGCUGUAGCUGCUGACCUACACCACAGCCACAGAACACCAGAUCCGAGCUGCAUCUACAAUCUGCACCACAGCUCGCGGCAAUGCUGGAUCCUUAACCCACUGAGCGAGGCCAGGGAUUGAACCAGUGUUCUCAUGGAGACUGCAUAGGGUCUUAACCCCCUGAAUCACAGUGGGAACUCCCCCAUUGCUACUUUCUUAACUCAGAUCCUUAGCAUCUCACCUGAACUGUUUCUAUAAUGUCACACUGGUCUCUUUGCCUCUAUUUUUUCCCAUCUCUGUCCUGCUGUUGAAGUAAUAUUUUUAAACUGACAGUCUGGUUCUUUGCUGAGAUAUGGUACCUCAAGCCACCAUGCAGUCCCACUAGGCAGAGAACUGGUAUUCUAAGGAGAAGAGGUCAUUUCAGUGUUGAGAGUUUAUGAAUAAUGGAACAAUGGCUUUUAGUUAUUUGUCAUUUCAGACAGCCAAUUUCACUUCUCAGGACACCCCGGUGCUUUUGAUCAAAUUAAACACUUUUGUUGUCUCUCUCAUGACAGUGAAAUGAGGGGAGGUAUUUAAUUGUGCAAUCUUUCUUAAGACAUAUGCAUUAAGAAAUUAAGAGAUUGCUAUGGCUAUUUUGCUGGUUACUCACCUGUUGUGUCAACUCCAGGUAACCCUUUUAAAAUAGUUUUGCGAUUAUAAAAACUUCAAUUCCCAAACUCUCAACUAAAUUCCCAAACGAUGUGAGGUCUAUAUAUUUCCUAGAUUACUUUGCCAGUCAGUGUACUGUUAUUUUCCUGCCAGUGGAGAUACUAAAAGGAGCUCAAAAGAGGGGAGAAGGGAAAAUACUUCCUUUCUGUUUUCAUCAGGAUUGCAUUAAUAGGGAGUUUCCCAUUGUGACUCAAGUGUUGUGAACUUGACUACUACCCAUGAGGAUAUAAAUAUGAUCCCUGGCCUCGCUCAGUGAGUUAAGGAUCCAGUGUUGUCAUGAGCUAUGGUGUAGGUUGCAGAUGUGGCUCAGAUCCUGUGUUGGUAUAGCUGUGGUGUAGGCCAGCAGCUGUGGCUUCAAUUUGACCCUUAGCCUGGGAACUCCCAUAUGCCACAGGCAUGGCCCUAAAAA
rnacentral:lncRNA from 1 species